AUUGAAGAAAAAGUGUGGGAUUCCAAGGAAUUAAGCAAGAUUACGAGGCAGCUGGUAAAUAGGUCAAGGUACCUUUGUAGACUCGACUAUUGGUAGGUGUCUCGGCAUUUAGUAGCUAUACAUUCGUCAAGUUUCUCCUCUAGACAUCGAGUCUUCUUUUGUUAUGUAUAGACGAACCUAAUGUGAAUUAUUAAGAUACAUGUUGUAGACAGUGUAUAUACACUUGUUUGGUAUGCCAGUAUGAGGGGCAAUGUUCAAUAUUA